GGUCUUCUUCCUGGCUUGUCUCCUGAGUUUUUGCUGGUAGAGCUGCCAAUAACAAGAUGUCUUCAGGAAAUGCCAAAAUUGGGCAUCCUGCCCCCAACUUCAAAGCCACGGCUGUUAUGCCAGAUGGCCGGUUCAAAGACCUCAGCCUAUUUGACUACAAAGGAAAAUACGUUGUGUUCUUCUUUUACCCUCUUGACUUCACCUUUGUGUGUCCCACGGAGAUCAUUGCUUUCAGUGACAGGGCAGAAUUUAAGAAGCUCAACUGUCAAGUGAUUGAUGCUUCUGUGGAUUCUCAUUUCUGUCACCUGGCAUGGAUCAACACACCCAACAAACAAGGAAGACUGGGACCCAUGAAUAUUCCCUUGGUAUUAGACGCCAAGCGUACCAUUGCCCAGGACUAUGGAGUCUUAAAAGCUGAUGAAGGCAUCUCGUUCAGGGGCCUCUUUAUCAUUGAUGAUAAAGGUAUCCUUAGGCAGAUCACUGUAAAUGAUCUACCUGUCGGCCGCUCUGUGGUUGAGACUCUGCAACUGGCUCAGGCCUUCCAGUUCACUGACAAGCAUGGGGAAGUGUGCACAGCUGGCUGGAAGCCUGGAAGCCUUCCUCUAGGGAGAAUGGCCUGA